CCUACGGGUGGCAGCAGUGAGGAAUAUUGGUCAAUGGCCGAGAGGCUGAACCAGCCAAGUCGCGUGAGGGAAGACGGCCCUACGGGUUGUAACCCUCUUUUGUCGGGGAGCAAAGCGAGUCACGUGUGAUUGAUUGAGAGUACCCGAAGAAAAAGCAUCGGCUAACUCCGUGCCAGCAGCCGCGGUAAUACGGAGGAUGCGAGGGUUAUCCGGAUUUUUUGGGUUUAAAGGGUGCGCAGGCGGAGGUGCAAGUCAGCGGUCAAAUUGCGGGGCUCAACCCCGUACUGCCGUUGAAACUGCAUCCCUUGAGUGCGCGAGAAGUAUGCGGAAUGCGGGGUGUAGCGGUGAAAUGCAUAGAUAUCACGCAGAACUCCGAUUGCGAAGGCAGCAUACCGGCGCGCAACUGACGCUCAUGCACGAAAGCGUGGGUAGCGAACAGGAUUAGAUACCCCUGUAGUC
rnacentral:rRNA from 1 species